AUAAAAACUUUUCUGAAACCAGGAUUAUCCAAUUUUUCCACACUCUUGGUGAGUGAAGAAACUGAUCUCUUAUUUGUUGGAGCCAGAGAUGCAAUAUUUGCACUUGACUUGAAUGACAUCUCAAGAGAAAUAGCCAAUGAGGACUGGUUCGCAACAAGGGAUAGACAAUUGGAAUGCAUUCGCAGAGGAAAGGACAAAGUAGAUUGCCGAAACUACAUCCUCCUCCUUCGUAAGAUAAAUGACACUAACUUAUAUGUUUGUGGAACCAAUGCAUUUUACCCAGCUUGUGAUUACAUGGUAAGCAUUUUAUAUACUUAAAUACACCCUUUACUGCGUGUGC